UACAGGGGGGGCAAGCGUUGUUCGGAAUUACUGGGCGUAAAGGGCCAGUAGGCGGCCAACUAAGUCCGACGUGAAAUCCCCAGGCUUAACCUGGGAACUGCGUCGGAUACUGGAUGGCUUGAAUUCGGGAGAGGGAUGCGGAAUUCCGGGUGUAGUGGUGGAAUGCGUAGAGAUCCGGAGGAACACCAGCGGCGAAGGCGGCAUCCUGGACUGGUCCUGACACUCAGGAGCGAAAGCGUGGGGAGCGAUCCGG
rnacentral:rRNA from 1 species